UACGUAGGGUGCAAGCGUUGUCCGGAAUCAUUGGGCGUAAAGCGCGUGUAGGCGGCCCGGUAAGUCCCCUGUAAAAGUCCAGGGCUCAACCCUGGAAAGCCGGUGGAUACUGCCGGACUAGAGUUCGGAAGAGGCGAGUGGAAUUCCCGGUGUAGCGGUGAAAUGCGCAGAUAUCGGGAGGAACACCUAUGGCGAAGGCAGCUCGCUGGGACGUUACUGACGCUGAGACGCGAAAGCGUGGGGAGCAAACAGG
rnacentral:rRNA from 1 species